rnacentral:rRNA from 1 species
AGGGUUCGAUUCUGGCUCAGAACGAACGCUGGCGGCGCGUCUUAAGCAUGCAAGUCGAACGGCAAGAGGUAGCAAUACCUCCUAGAGUGGCGGACUGGUGAGUAACACGUGGGUGACAUACCUCAGAUGGGGAUAGCUAUUAGAAAUAGUAGAUAAUACCGAAUACGAGCACAGGGGUUAGAGAUCUGUGAGGAAAGGAGCUAAGGCUCCGCUGAAGGAAUGGCCUGCGGCCCAUUAGCUAGUUGGUGAGGUAAGAGCCCACCAAGGCGAUGAUGGGUAUCCGGCCUUAGAGGGUGAACGGACACAUUGGGACUGAGAUACGGCCCAGACUCCUACGGGAGGCAGCAGCUAAGAAUAUUCCGCAAUGGACGAAAGUCUGACGGAGCGACGCCGCGUGGAUGAAGAAGGCCGGAAGGUUGUAAAAUCCUUUUGAAACUGAAGAAUAAGCGUUGUAGGGAAUGACAGCGUGGUGACAGUAGGUUUUGAAUAAGCAACGGCUAAUUACGUGCCAGCCGCCGC